rnacentral:tRNA from 1 species
AGAGAUGUGGCUCAGAGGUGGAGCACUCACCUAGCAUGCGUGAGGCACUGGGUUCGAUCCUCAGCAGCAUGU